rnacentral:tRNA from 1 species
GGGUCAUUAGUUAAGGGGAUAUAACCUCCGCCUUCUAAGCGGAUGUCCCAGGUUCGAAUCCUGGAUGACCUG